AAGGAUAUGGCUCAGUGGUAGAGUGCUUGCUUAGCAUGCACACGGUCCUGGGUUCAAGCCCCAGGACCUUCA
rnacentral:tRNA from 1 species